CGCUGGCGGCGUGCCUAACACAUGCAAGUCGAACGGGGAUUUGUUUCGGCAGAAUCCUAGUGGCGAACGGGUGAGUAACGCGUAGGCAACCUGCCCUCCGGCCGGGGACAACACUCCAAAGGGGUGCUAAUACCGGAUACGAAGUCUGUGCCGCAUGGUACGGAUUUGAAAGAUGGCCUCUAUUUAUAAGCUAUCGCCGGGGGAUGGGCCUGCGUCCGAUUAGCUGGUUGGUGGGGUAACGGCCUACCAAGGCGACGAUCGGUAGCCGGUCUGAGAGGAUGAACGGCCACAUUGGGACUGAGACACGGCCCAGACUCCUACGGGAGGCAGCAGUGGGGAAUCUUCCGCAAUGGGCGCAAGCCUGACGGAGCAACGCCGCCGUGAGUGAGGAAGUUUUUCGGAACGUAAAGCUCUGUUGUUCCUGACGAACCUCCCUUCUAUCAACAACGGAAGGGACUGAACGGUAGGGAACGAGGAAGCCACGGCUAACUACGUGCCAGCCGCGGC
rnacentral:rRNA from 1 species